GACGAACGCUGGCGGCGUGCUUAACACAUGCAAGUCGAACGGAAAGGCCCUGCUUUUGUGGGGUGCUCGAGUGGCGAACGGGUGAGUAACACGUGAGUAACCUGCCCUUGACUUUGGGAUCACUUCAGGAAACUGGGGCUAAUACCGGAUAGGAGCUCCUGCUGCAUGGUGGGGGUUGGAAAGUUUCGGCGGUUGGGGAUGGACUCGCGGCUUAUCAGCUUGUUGGUGGGGUAGUGGCUUACCAAGGCUUUGACGGGUAGCCGGCCUGAGAGGGUGACCGGCCACAUUGGGACUGAGAUACGGCCCAGACGCCUACGGGAGGCAGCAGUGGGGAAUAUUGCACAAUGGGCGGAAGCCUGAUGCAGCAACGCCGCGUGCGGGAUGACGGCCUUCGGGUUGUAAACCGCUUUCGCCUGUGACGAAGCGUGAGUGACGGUAAUGGGUAAAGAAGCACCGGCUAACUACGUG
rnacentral:rRNA from 1 species